UAUGGACCGUUUAACCACGAUCAUUAGUAUUUUCAAACUUUGUUUUGAUCCACUAUUUAUGUGCCAUACCAUAGACAAAGAAACUUACAAAAACAUCUCUUUAAAUGGUGUAAACAAAACUUGAAAAAAAAAAUAAAAAAACUAAUUGAUGUUGAUUUCCGAAGGAUGGAUCGAUAGAUAAAGGGACUGAACUGCUUUCAAAAUAAGUUGGAGUGGG
rnacentral:lncRNA from 1 species